CACGUGAGUUACCUGCCCCGAAGUGGGGGAUAGCCCGGAGAAAUUCGGAUUAAUACCCCAUGUGAUCGAAAGAUUAAAGGCGGCGCAAGCUGUCGCUUCGGGAUGGGCUCGCGGCCUAUCAGCUAGUUGGCGGGGUAACGGACCACCAAGGCGAUGACGGGUAGCUGAUCUGAGAGGAUGAUCAGUCACACUGGAACUGAGACACGGUCCAGACACCUACGGGUGGCAGCAGUCGAGAAUCAUUCGCAAUGGGCGAAAGCCUGACGGUGCGACGCCGCGUGGAGGAUGAAGGCCCUAGGGUCGUAAACUCCUGUCAUCAGGGAGUAAAGACUCGCGUAGUCACUGACGCGGGUCCUGAUAGUACCUGAAGAGGAAGGGACGGCAAACUUCGUG
rnacentral:rRNA from 1 species